rfam:Salmo salar isolate Sally breed double haploid chromosome ssa09, whole genome shotgun sequence.
UGGCUCAGUUGGUAGAGCAUGGUGUUUGCAACAACCAGGGUUGUGGGUUCGAUUCCCAU